rnacentral:rRNA from 1 species
CGGACGGGUGAGUAACGCGUGGGUAACCUGCCUUGUACAGGGGGAUAACAGUUGGAAACGGCUGCUAAUACCGCAUAAGCGCACGGCAUCGCAUGGUGCAGUGUGAAAAACUCCGGUGGUAUAAGAUGGACCCGCGUUGGAUUAGCUAGUUGGUGAGGUAACGGCCCACCAAGGCGACGAUCCAUAGCCGACCUGAGAGGGUGACCGGCCACAUUGGGACUGAGACACGGCCCAG